GCUUACGGCCAUAUCGCGCUGAGAGCACCGGUUCUCGUCCGAUCACCGAAGUUA
rnacentral:rRNA from 1 species